GGGCGGCGGGCGGGCGGCGGGCGGAAGGCAUCACUUUGUCCGGACUCUAAUUCAAAUUGUAUUCAUCCGAUCUUCACCAAACUUGGUCAGCAGUUGCAUCUAGUUGAUAUCUAGGCCAAGUUCGAAUAUGGGUCAUGCCGGGUCAAAAACUAGGUCAUAGGGUCAAUAAGUGCAUUUUCAACGGGGCCACUUUGUCCGGACUCUAUUUCAAAUUGUAUUCAUCCGAUCUUCACCAAACUUGGUCAGCAGUUGCAUCUAGUUGAUAUAUAGGCCAAGUUCGAAUAUGGGUCAUGCCGGGUCAAAAACUAGGUCAUAGGGUCAAUUAGUGCAUUUUCAACGGCACCACUUUGUCCGGACUCUAAUUCAAAUUGUAUUCAUCCGAUCUUCACCAAAUUUGGUCAGAAGUUGUGUCUAGAUGAUAUGUAGGUCAAGUUCAAAUAUGGGUCAUGCCGGGUCAAAAACUAGGUCACGAGGUUACUUAGUGCAUUUCAAGCAUUUAGCAUGGUGUCCGCUCUCUAAUUGAAGUAGUUUUCAUCUGAUCUUCACCUAAUUUGGUCAGAAGUUGUGUCUAGAUGAUAUGUAGGUCAAGUUCAAAUAUGGGUCAUGCCGGGUCAAUAACUAGGUCUUGAGGACACUUUCAAGCAUUGAGCAUGGUGUCCAAAACCUUCGAACGGGCGUAUCUUGUGACAGUUUGGCACUCUUGUUUUAAAU